rnacentral:lncRNA from 1 species
UCUUUAUUUUUUUUUAUUUUCCUUCCAAACUCGAACCUGCCCCACCUAGGCAAUAAUCUAGGCUCUUGGGUAGACCAAGCCUGUGCUUGUAAAACCAGGACAUUUCACAUAGGGGCUGAAAUGAGUGUGAGGACCUCUUGGAAACAAAUCCCCAACCUCUUAUCCAAGAUGCAAGAGGUAAUACCAAUCAACCUAAUACUUGAUGGUCACAGCUUUUGG